CCUGCCUGGUAGCGGGGGAUAACUAUUGGAAACGAUAGCUAAUACCGCAUAACAGUAGAUAUCGCAUGAUAGCUGCUUGAAAGGUGCAAAUGCACCACUACCAGAUGGACCUGCGUUGUAUUAGCUAGUUGGUGAGGUAACGGCUCACCAAGGCAACGAUACAUAGCCGACCUGAGAGGGUGAUCGGCCACACUGGGACUGAGACACGGCCCAG
rnacentral:rRNA from 1 species